rnacentral:lncRNA from 10 species
GCUCCUGGGGAGGCCUUGGGAGCUUCCACUCAUGGCAGAGGUGAAGGGGAGCCUGCUUGUGCAGAGGUCACACAGUGACAGAGGGAAUGAGAGAGAGGGGGAAGGUGCCAAGGCCUUCUAAAGAGCAAUGGUAGAACUCAGCUGGCAAAGGAGCAGUAACAUGCCCUCCAUUCCGCCUGAAAACCACCUCCUGCCCACAUGACCUCUCUCCUCAGCCAAGCUACCAACCAAGGGCAAGAGUAAAAUAAAGACACCUGCAGAUGUCAGAAAGCUGGCAGAGCAUGGCUGGAUUCUCUGCUCGAGGUCUCACAUGCCCAAAAUCAAGGUAUUGGCCGGCUGGGCUCUUGUGUGGAGGCUCUGGGGAAGAACCAUUCAGGCUGUGGACAGAAGACAGCUCCUUGUGGCUAUAGGACUGAGAGCCCUGCUUCCCGCCACCGGCCCUUCAAGCACAAGCCCUCCAGGCCUCAAAUCUCUCUGCCUUCCUCUUCUGCUUGUAAAGGCGCAUGUGAUUUCACUGGACCCACUUUCAAAACCCAGGAUAACUUCCCUAUUUUAAAGUCCAUUUACCUUAAUUAAUCUGCACAGCCACUUUGCCAUGUAAAGUAACAUAUUCGUGGGCAUGAAACCAGGGGGUGAAGGUCAUGUGGCUUUGAGAGCAGCACUCUCGGUGACACAUACUCAAUUCUGCUCCUCCAGUGCAAAAGCAGCCACUGACAAUAUGCAAAGGAAUACAUGCAGCCACAACAUGGAAGAAAUACGUGCAUCAACAACACAUAGCAGCGUGUGUAUGUAUGUGCGUAAAGGCCUUGGAACACAGCUGAAGAAUACUUUUCAAAUCCUUCACUGUUAUUUCCUCUAGGGAAGAGAGUGGAGGCCGAGGCUGGGAAUCCAGGAGCUGUUCCCAUUUUAUUCUGCAUACUUCCCUAUCUUCUGAUGACUUCACAAUGUAACCAUUAAGAAAAAUAAAAAUUGCUCAUGCAUUUACAUAUAUAAAUAUUAAUAUAUGUAAAGAAAACCUUAACCAAUAAUGAUGAUUAUAUCUGGGGAGGAGGGAGUGUAAGGAACUUGCUUUCUAAAUUACAUAUUCCUGCGAUCUUUGCUUUUUUGUUACAAUGAGUCUCUAUUGUUGUGAAUAGAAAAAUAUGUAUACUUUUCAUUGUACUGAUGUCGAUGAAGGAUUUAUGUAAAAAGCCAGAUACUAAAUAUCUCCAAAGUUCAUCCAUUCUGGACUAAUGCUCAUGUUACAACUUUAAGUUAAAAGUGCAAGAGGCAGGCGGAUCCUUUGAGGUCAGGAGUUUGAGACCAGCCUGGCCAACAUGGUGAAGCCCCAUCUCUACUACAAAAAUUAGCCAGGUGUGGAGGCGGGUGCCUGUAAUCCCAGCU